rnacentral:rRNA from 1 species
GAUGAACGCUAGCGGGAGGCUUAACACAUGCAAGUCGAGGGGCAGCAUAGGGUAGCAAUACUCUGGUGGCGACCGGCAAACGGGUGAGUAACGCGUAUGCAACCUACCCUGUACAGGGGGAUAACCCGGAGAAAUUCGGACUAAUAUCCCGUAAUAAUAUCCGGAGGCAUCUUUGGAUAUUUAAAGUUCCGACGGUACGGGAUGGGCAUGCGUAACAUUAGCUGGUUGGUAAGGUAACGGCUUACCAAGGCUAUGAUGUUUAGGGGUCCUGAGAGGGUGGUCCCCCACACUGGUACUGAGACACGGACCAGACUCCUACGGGAGGCAGCAGUGAGGAAUAUUGGUCAAUGGGCGCAAGCCUGAACCAGCCAUCCCGCGUGCAGGAAGACGGCCCUAUGGGUUGUAAACUGCUUUUCCAGGGAGAGAAACUUACGCACGUGUUGCGUGACUGACGGUACCCUGGGAAUAAGCAUCGGCUAACUCCGUG